rnacentral:rRNA from 1 species
GGCAAAAUGAGAGUCCAACUGUCUCUUAUAAUAGAUCAAUUAAACUGAUCUUUCAGUACAAAAGCUGAAAUACCUCCAUAAGACCAGAAGACCCUGUGAAGCUUUAAUUACCCUAUUAAACCCAAUAAUAGCUAAUUUCGGUUGGGGCGACCUUGGAACAAAAAAGAACUUCCAAAUACAUGACCUAAGUCAUCAAAAAGGCAUACAAGCCACUAUUAGACCCAGUACAGCUGAUAAUUGAACCAAGUUACUCCAGGGAUAACAGCGCCAUCUUCUUCAAGAGCCCAUAUCAAAAAGAAGGUUUACGACCUCGAUGUUGGAUCAGGACAUCCUAGCAAUGCAGCCGUUACUAAGGGUUCGUUUGUUCAACGAUUAACAGUUCUACGUGA